rnacentral:rRNA from 1 species
UACGAACUGUGCAAACGUUAUUCGGAAUCACUGGGUCGUUAAGGGUGCGUAGGCGGCUGUCUAAAGUAGGGUGUGGAAAGCCCCCCGGCUCAACCGGGGAAUUUGCGCCCUAAACUGGACGGCUGGAGUGAGGCAGGGGUGUGUGGAACUUCCGGUGGAGCGGUGAAAUGCGUUGAGAUCGGAAGGAACGCCCGUGGCGAAAGCGAGGUCCUGGACGUCUACUGACGCUGAGACGACGAAAGCUAGGGGAGCGAACGGG